rnacentral:misc_RNA from 1 species
UGUAGGAGUGAGCCUGCUCGCGAUGGCGUCCGUCCCGUCAGCGCUGUUCUGACUGAUCCACCGUUAUCGCGAGCAGGCUCACUCCUACA